GAUGAACGCUAGCGGCAGGCUUAACACAUGCAAGUCGAGGGGUAUAGUUCUUCGGAACUAGAGACCGGCGCACGGGUGCGUAACGCGUAUGCAAUCUACCUUUCACAGAGGGAUAGCCCAGAGAAAUUUGGAUUAAUACCUCAUAGUAUUAUAGAGUGGCAUCACUUUAUAAUUAAAGUCACAACGGUGAAAGAUGAGCAUGCGUCCCAUUAGCUAGUUGGUAAGGUAACGGCUUACCAA
rnacentral:rRNA from 1 species